UCUCCGCCAUUUAAAGAAACAGUACCGGGGGCGGGCCGAGCGACGCAGCCGGGACGGUAGCUGCGGCGCAGACCGGAGGAGCCAUCUUGUCUCGUCGCCGGGGAGUCAGGCCCCUAACUCGAAGAAGCCCUGGCGCGCCCUCCCCCCCUUCCCGGUCUGGUAGGGCGAAGGAGCGGGCGCGCGGUCGAUCGAGCGAUCGGUUGGCGGCUCUUUCUCCUGCUCUGGCAUCCAGCUCUUGGGGCGCAGGCCCGGCCGCCGCGGCGCGCGCCCGGUGGCCGUUGGCGCUCGCGCCGCGUCUUUCUUCUCGUACGCAGAACUCGGGCGGCGGCCUAUGCGUUUGCGAUUCGACGAGGAGUCGUCCGGGUGGUCGGCGGCGGCGGGCAGCUGCUCCGCCCCGCUCCCGGGGAGGCGGCGGCGGCGGCGGCGGCGGGAUUUGGCGCGGCCGGGGAGGCGGGGGUGGCCGGGGCCGGCCUGGAGGCCUGGCGCCACCCUUCGGGGCCUGCAAGGACCCAGUUGGGGGGGCAAGAGGGGGCUGGGGGAUGGUUGGUGGUGGGCUUUCUACUUUGCCUUUUUCUCCUCAUGCCGCCUUAGUGAGGGGCAGGAGCUUUGGCGGCAGCUCCGGGGUAGGGAGACAAGCCCCGGAGUCGGAAGAGCUGGGUUUGCUUCCGGGCCUAGCCACCAGCUGGCCGAGUGACCUUAGGCAAGUCACUCUAAUUUUCUGCGCCUCAGUUUCCUCCUAUGCCUGUCCAUGUUUGUGGGAUUGAAAGCGCUUUGUAAACUAUAAAGCAUCCGUGUUCGUAAGGGAUGAUUAUUGUUUGUAAUGGUUGUUGUUAGUUACGAGAAAACUUAGCAAUUGCCCAGUCCUUGGAUUUUGAACCUGGGAACCUUGGAUUGGAGUUGGGAUCCCCAAACUCCCCGAAAUUGUAUGCAGAAAUUAGUGGGAAUGUGUGUUUUAGGGGAAUAAGGAUCCAUCGCUUCUGUGACCCAGAAGAGUUAAGAACCACAAUUCCUUUAUGCUACAGGGAGGAAACUGAGGCCUAGAUGUCAUUUGGGACCCUUCACAACCAAUUUGAAGCCCCUGUUUGAAUCCCUGGGAUAUGUGAGCUGUUUCUAUGCAUAAUGGAUAUUCGGGGUAAUGACACUCCGCUGUUUGGCUUCUAUUCUGAGUCUUGUCUUUUCACCAUGGGGUGCCUGAAGGGUGGCUGAUACAUGUGGUACAAUGGCACCCAAUAUAAAGCAGCUAAAACCAGGAGUGGAUGUGUUUUCGGGUAUCAAGAAGCCUAUUUAAUCUGGCCCGACAACUCUGUGUUUUCUGCUGCUUUUACUGGUGCCUGACUACCUUUCUGACUUUCAUUGACCAUUUUCCACGAGUAUAGUUGCUAUCCGUUACUUGCUCCUAUUUUCUAUCCCUAAUCUGUGGUUGGUAGUGAGCAGGCUUAUUUUUAAAUGGUGCUGCCCAGUCCACGUAAUUAAUGGUGCAGGUGGAUUUUUAGCAGGCUGGCUCCCUGGAACAGACUGAACCAGGCGUGGAAUUACUGAAGAUGUUUGGGGGUUUUUCUUUAUUAAGUGAAAGUUAACAUUCUCUGAAAAGUUUUGUUAGAACCUCUGAACCUCAAAAUCAGUAGAUUUGGGAAUAUUUCAAAGCUUAACUUUUUCCUGGCCUGCUUUCUCUUCUAUUUGCUUGCAAGUGUGUUACUAAGAUGGCCAAAAUGCCAGUUUUUGCUUCUUUGUUAAUUAUCAGCUGCUUUUAUCAAAUUCCAGGCCAUUAUCCAGCAAACACUAUAGAAAUGUUUGAACAGUUGGAUUUCAAACAUUUUCGUGUUGUGGAGUGGUGCUUACCAGUGGUACAGCUCUAAGCAAGUGAACACAAACACAUUUCAGUGUAUUUUGUCUGGUUAGGUGUUACCAGUUCUGCUGUUUCAUACAGAUGUCUGAAAAAAUCGAUUGACUAUUCCCUUUGUCUAAAGGGCAGAGACAGAUGAUCUCACUUCCAGAGAAAUGACUGUUUUGGAGAAAAAUGUGUUGUUCUUUUAGUUCUUUUGUAAUUCUGGAGGUACCUCAAAAGAAUCUUAAAGACUGUGGUGAUAAGAUGCUUUCCUCAGGAGAGAGAGAGGAGGAAAAAAACAACUGGAACUUAAGCUUGAAAUUCUGUGACAGAACGUGAGAUGUCCAGGAUAGGAGGUUGAAAGGAUUUCACUACAGUGUUCUGCACUAGCUGGAGCAGAUGUCUUUCAGUGUAGCCACGGCGUGGAUUCUGGAUUUUCAAGAACUGGACCUGAGACCUGGAAGAGCUUAUCAGGAUGUGGCAGGAACUCUGGAACUGGAUAGUUUUAUUUUUGAAUUUUGAGACUGUUGACCUUGCUUUGAGAAGAGAUGACUGAGCAAGCACUGCCACCAGCGCUGUUUCUGGGAAUUCGAACACCUGAGUUGCUGCCAGACCCUUGGUGCAAACUCUGGCAGCACUCCAUCCAAAGUGAGCUACGUCCUGUGCCUCCUGAUUGCUGAGUGUUCACCUGGAUCUUCUGACCACCUUCCUUGUGCUCUUCCGUCAGCCUACAGAUGUGGUACCUGGAUUUUUGCCCAUGGUGAUUGCUACCACCUUACUACUGAAGAAGACAUCAUUCCAGUGGACACUGUGACCCAAGAGGCAUUCAGCCAUCAUGAUGUGGCCUUUACCUCCACUCCUGUCCUGUUCUACCCAGAUUCAGCACAGCCCUUUAUAGUAAAGUCAAACUCUUCAAGCCAAAUAGCUGAAGUUGUUUUAUCACGACAAAGGCCCAGUUUGUUCCAUGAGUGUGCAUUUCGUUUCUUCGGUUCGAGCCUUCAGAGACACAUGAUAAAUUUGGACCAGGGGACUUUUAGUUAUCAACACUGUCUGAAGCAUGGCAACAUCUUUUUGAGAACAACAUUGGACCACACCCCAUAAUCUCAAAUGAUUGAAGUUCAUGAAGUGUCUAGGAUCCCAUUGAGAUCACUGGACUCUGUCCCUUUUGCUUCAAAUCUGUAGUAGCCUACUGAAUGAGAAAGCAGAUAUUAUGACCCAUUGGGAUUAAAACGGGCACAAUGAACUCCUCAUAGCAUCUUCUUUGGGAUUACUCAGGAACCAGAACUUUUCACACAAAUGUAAGAAAUUCUACCAAGGAAUCCCUUUGCCUAACAGCAUCUCACACAGCUCCAAUCAGAUGCCAGAAAAGGCCUCUUGAUACAUCCAGCAUUUUGUGAACACCUUAUUCUUAGAUCAUUGGUUUUCCAAAGGCUUUGUGGCCGUGAAGCCCUUUGAAUGAAAACUGUGUGGAAGCCCAGAGUAAGAGUGAAGCUGCUCUGGAUGAAGCAGGAGUAGGGGGCCUGAAACCUGCCACAAGCAUCUUCUUUUACCACCAUGGUGACACCUAAGGAGACUUCUUUACAACAGCUAGAAUUCUGCAGAACACAGUUUGAAAACCACUGCCCUAGACAGCAAUAUGUUCGACCUGAAUGACAUUUUCAUCUAUACCUCUGCCGAAACAGUCCAAGUUCAGUUGUUGCCGAACAUUCUAAGGGAUACUAACUAUGAGCCAACUCAGAAAAGGCCAAGAAGAUGGGCGUGUCUUUGCCCCCCAGAGUCAUAUGGGCUGAAAGUGGUAUCAGAUGGACCUAGAUUAACAGCCCUCUGCCCUAGAUGGACUUCCACUCAUUCCUGGAAUUGGAUAGAACCAGAGAACAAUUCAUAUGUACUCUACACUGACAAACCCCUUUACCCAACUUCUUUCACACACACCAGAUGUUCUAGUGGUACUUGAAAUACAUGACUUGGAAGUCUUGAUCCUCCUUAGAUACCUGAAUUGCCAGGUAUUGAAGCUGAUAUUGAAGUUGAUGCCUCAUUGAGGCCAUAUUAGACCAACUUGUACGUUGAACCUCCCGUCAUCGGCCAUGGUACUGUACUUCGUGUGCAAGGGAUAACCAUUAACUAUGAAAGCAAAAUUCAGAUACUGGCAACGUUACCUAAAAGGGUACCUGGUUAUCAUUCAUCUUAAACUACAAGUCACUGUGACUCAACCAGUGGCAGUUACACUGCUCCUUGGUUUUUAUUCAGUUUAACUGCUGUUUCCAAGAUAAAUGAGCUAAUAACCUUAAAAAAAAAAGUUAAAACAAUUUCUCCAUCACUGGCAUUUCUGCCUGUUCUGUUCCAAAAAUUAUGAAUACUCAGCUCUAACUGCAUGUAACCCCGAUCCACAAGAGACAAUCUUUGAAUAUCCUUACUUGGGUGUAAUUUAAAAUGUGGCUGUUUGGAAAAUUUUCUUCUAGCCCACAAGGGAUGUUCUUUUAAGAUAGAUCUUUUGAUGUCUGGUACUAUCAAGUAUAGAUGUUAGGGAUAUUUGGAGGUAGGCCUGUUGGCCAGGCCAUGAUGACUGACUUGCUUGGCAUCUCAAAUUGCAUAUCAUCUACCUUUUUGGUGGAAAUGUAGAAUGACUUGAAAAAAAGUCUACAAAGCUUGCAGCUAAGUAUUAUCAGUAGACUCAAGAGCUUCCUGCUGCUGCUGCUUAAUGUCACAAGACCACAGUCCCUCGUCCUUGUGGAUGUUUUAAUGGAAUUUCAUCUGUCUCAGUGCUGUUGUUUCACACUUAUUCACAGUGGCUGACUUCAUUCCUUGCCGUGAGAUAUUCUCAGGCUUUAAGACAAUUUAUCUGUUUCUGCAGGAAGGAUUCCAUUUAUGAACUCCCAGACCAAAUCACAUCAAACAAGUAGACUUCGAUUUGUGUCAUGAAAGAAAUCUCAUUCCUUUACUACACAGUCAACGUAAGGGCCAGCUGUCCUCAACUACUUUAACAAAUGCACUGGUUAAAUGUUGGGAAAGGUUUCUUUAUGUCUUUGUCUCUUAUCCUUAUGGUGGUUACAUGACUGGGUCUACAAAUCAUCAAACAAGGCCUAAGUCUGUUUACUCUAGACUGUUCACCCUCAACAAAUAAAAAAUCUGAUGACUAGCCUGCUUGUAUAUACAACUAUUAUUUGUAAAGAAGAAAUCAUCUACAAACUAAGUUUUUCUACUACCUUCAAAACGUCAGCUCAAUUUUCUCUUUCUCUGUACUUUACAGAAAAAGAUAUUCAUCUACACUGCCAGUCAUUCCCUUUAAUCCUGUCAAAAUGAGGGGCUUAAGAAUGAGGAUGAUCGUCUGUUCUAGAGUCUAAUGAACACUGUAUAAGAGUUGAUGGUUGAAAAACCAAAACGCCUGAAACUCAAACCUAGUAUCUUGCCUACUAUCUCCAUGCCUCAGAUCUCAUCAGUCAACCAAUCUGAGGCCUUGACUUAUAUAUAAGGUGAUUCUCACAGAUAGGCUGAGUUACAGAGGAUGGAGACUUGAUUACCAAAGAAAGUAGGGCCAAUCUUGAUAAACCUGGCUCUCCCAACCUUAUCAAUCCCAGAUGUAGCAUAGGUUCCUAAACAGAACCUCAAGUCUGAAUUGAGGAUAAAGCCGUCUCCUGAGCUGAAAGCUCUGGGGAAAUGAACAGGAAAAUGAAAGCUGCUGUGCCUGACUGGCCCUUUAAGAUCAGAAAAAUGUAUCCAGAGUAAAGCCUGUGGAUUAACCCUGGAGUACUCAGGAUAAGAACUGAUUUACAGAGCUUCAAUAGUCAUCAUCCUGUUCUUCCAGAUCACGUCUGGCUAAUAGUAUGGCUGGCCCUGCUGAUGGUACCCUACUUGCCUGGUUACCUGAUUCAGCCCUUGCCUGCCUUUUUGGACAUGUUGCUGCAAACAGACUGACUGUGCUUGAGAAGACUACCAGUGAUCUUGGCCUAACUUAUACCCAGGCCCACCAAGGAAUUUUGAACAGAAGCAACCUGCACCUCAGCCUACCAGGACUUAAUGUUCACAACAGGAAGGACCAUUCUGUGUAAUCCUUGACCAACAGCUUUUUCUUGUUGUUAAGUGCAGAGUAAGCCUCUACACCUGUAUUUGAUUGUUUUCAGCACCUGGGACCCCUUUGAUCAGAUCUGCAGGAGUACAGCAGAUUGAAAUCAUUGUCCAUUCCUCUCUCGUGCACUAAUACAGAGAUGAGUCUGAUUCAUCAGCACUCACAGAAAUGUACCAGUUCAACUUGGCAAAAGACUUAACACAAGAAAACUCUUCCACUGAACUUAAAAUUUACCACUGACUUGAAUAGCCUCACAGAACUGUUCACUGGUGGGAGGCUAGUUAUCCUGCUUUAUGUCAGCAAGACAGUUGGGCCUUCAGACUCAUGACCACUGAGUUUACUUAUAUUGAAACUCUGUUGUAUCAUCCAGAGUAUGCUAUUGAACAUGAUUGUUUCAUUCAAAUGGAUUACAAACUUCCUGUGAACAGGACAAACUUACUCCUCAUGAUGUUCUUCCAGAGUAUUAUCGAGGAAGUAACAAUGUUAGCAUCAACUUUAUGACCAGAGAUUAAACUUUUGCGUUAUCUGGUCUUAUCAUUGGCAGGAGUUGUUUUUGAUUGACCAGCAUCCAUUCCAUCUCUUUGUAACAACUCCCUGAUGUUUCUUGGAACCAUAUUUACCUGUUUUCAGUCCACAUGGUUCAGACCUGAUCCAUCAGCAUAGUCCAUCUCCUUGACUGUAGUGAUUGGUUCAGGAAUGUUCAUGUGAUUCAAGUUGGUCUAGUGAUACUGAAGCCCAGGAAUUUUACUGAACUGUGGAGGAGGAGAAGCUCAGAAGCUCUCUUUAUUGAAGUCGCUUAGCUUUGUAAGAUGAAAAACUCAAACCACCAGGGCCCACCAUAUCAAAUGAGCCAGUCAGAAAGUGCCAGUGCAGAAGAAAGCAGAGCCAAAUGAUGGAGAGACUUGAGUCCUGAUAACAAAGUUUGUGCCCCUGGAUCCAACCGUGCCUGAAGCUAGUAUAUCCCCUGGACUUUUCAGUUAUGUGAACCAAUAAAUACCCUGUUUUGCUUAAGUUA